AACGCACCUUGCGCUCCUUGGUAUUCCGAGGAGCAUGCCUGUUUGAGUGUCUUGAAAUCAUCAAACCCCUCCGGUUUCUGCUGGAGCGGGUUUGGACUUGGGGGGUUUUUGCUGCCUCACGGUGGCUCCCCUUAAAUGAAUCGGUCGGGCUUUCGUGUGGCUUGUCCCUUGGCGUUGUAUCAACCUCGUCGCUGGAUGGCUCGCGAGUUUUGCGCCCCUCCAAGACCAGCCUCUGGAGCGGCGGUCAACUUCAAUUCUUGAUCUGACCUCAAAUCAGGUAGGACUACCCGCUGAACUUAA
rnacentral:misc_RNA from 1 species